CCGCGUUCUGCCCUCUCCCCCCUUUCCUCACGCUGGUGGUGGCCCUUUCCUCAGUCCUGCUGAUGUCCUCCAGCUGAUUCCAGGCUGUUCCCGGCCACCCCUGAGGCCGUCCUUUCGCUUCUUGUAAAAGCCUCCCCGCCUCCUGAGCUCCCUCGGUCGCCUCCCGAGAAGCCAACGGGCCUCUCUGGUGGAGCGUUAGGUUGACAGCGUUUUAGCAGGACCGCGAGAAACCGGGGAGAUCCUCUUACGAGGAAAAACUCCAAGAUUACAUCCCUGUUAUCUUUCCUCCAAGUAGAGCUGACUAAGGCUUUGGAACAGAAACCAGAUGAUGCACAUAUAUUAUCGUCAAAGAGCUUAUUGUCACAUUCUUCUUGGGAAUUACUGUGGUAAUUUUUCUUAUAAAGUAUAUUGCCCCUUUUUAAUAAGUUACUUAUACAUUUUACCCAUGACCAAUUAAU
rnacentral:lncRNA from 1 species